rnacentral:rRNA from 1 species
UACGUAGGGUGCAAGCGUUUAAUCGGAAUUACUGGGCGUAAAGCGUGCGCAGGCGGUUUUGUAAGUCUGUCGUGAAAUCCCCGGGCUCAACCUGGGAAUUGCGAUGGAGACUGCAAGGCUGAGAAUCUGGCAGAGGGGGGUAGAAUUCCACGUGUGAGCAGUGAAAUGCGUAGAGAUGUGGAGGAACACCGAUGGCGCAAGGCAGCCCCCUGGG